rnacentral:rRNA from 1 species
UCAUUAGUUUUUUAAUUGAAAGCUUGAAUGAAUGGUUUGAUGAAAAAAUUUCUGUCUCAAUAUUAAUAAUAGAAUUUUAUUUUUAAGUUAAAAAGCUUAAAUUUUUUUAAAAGACGAGAAGACCCUAUAGAACUUUAUUGAUUUAAUUUAAAAAUUUUUAGAAUUUAAUAAUUUUUAAAGAAAAAUUAAUUUAAUUGGGGUGAUUAAAAAAUUAAAAAAACUUUUUUUAUAUAAUUACAUUAAUUUAUGAAAAUUUGAUCCAUAAAAAUGAUUAUAAGAAAAAGUUACCUUAGGGAUAACAGCGUAAUUUUUAUGGAGAGUUCAAAUCGAUAUAAAAGAUUGCGACCUCGAUGUUGGAUUAAAAUAAAAUUUUGGUGUAGAAGCUAAAA